UUUUUCUCCACAGACAAUUGUACAUCACACUGUUAUUCGCAUAUUUGACAAUUUCAAUAAGAACUCAGUCUUUUCACUGGCGAGCAUCGUGCUGUGAACGUGUUUUGUAUUACUUAUAGUACCAACAAUCUGUAAUCAAACGCGUAAUUGCAUCAAAUAGCAUCACAGACAAUAUGAGAGCUCCACAAAUGCUUAACUAUGCAGUAAAUCGGCUUAGCUAUAAUAUGGUGUCCAGUUUUACUGGUAAAUCAGAGCGUGCCGUACCUAGAUCAGCAGCGUUGAUGGCUGUAUUUGGCAUUGGUGUUUCAUCAUUCGGUGUAAAACAAAUGAUGAACAGUGGUCCAAGACGGUUUUAGACAUCAACUUAAAUCUACAUAUAAAAAAGAGCGAGCAAGUUGAAACGGUUCAGGAAGGAGGGGAGAUAUGAUGAACAUUUAAUGAUAGCAAAACGAAAUAAAUGCCAUACAAUUGAUGAAUGUGCGAUUGAGUUACAGUUUUCAAACUAUAACCAACGACUUAAUGAAGUGAAUGAGAAGAGAUUUUUCAUGUUCCCAGAGGGCGCUCACUUAUCCAGAGAUCAUCUAUGCAAUCUAUUACACAAAUACAUGGUUUUGUUUAUCCUGGCUUUGUCUCCGCAAUCGAUUCGACUUUUCGUUAUAUGUACAAGUGCUGCUUAGUUCUACGUUAAUUUUGAAUAUUUUUUUUUUGUGAUGAUAUUUUAUUUUAUUUUUGCAUCAAUUUAUUUACCAAAAAAGCAACAAGUUUAUAAAAACUACAUCCAACAUAGAAAACGAGCCCAAAAAAUUACAAACAUAUAUGUGCAUAGUGCAUUCAAUAAAGAUAAGAAAACUUGAUCAUUUUUUUAUAUGCUUAUUAUGGAAAUUGAUUGUAUUAAAACAAGGUUAAUAAAUUGAUCUAGGCGAAA